rnacentral:rRNA from 1 species
GUAGUCAUAUGCUUGUCUCAAAGCUUAAGCCAUGCAAGUCUCAGUACGAGCUGACUUAAAGUGAAACCGCAAAAGGCUCAGUAAACCGGUCAUAGUUUACCGGAUAUAUGCCACUCACGUGGAUAACUGUGGUAAUUCUAGAGCUAAUACAUGCAAACAAGUCCCGACCAGCGAUGGAGAGGACGCUUUUAUUGGAUCAAAACCAUUCGCCCGAGCUAAUCGGGCGUCGGCUUGAUGACUCUAGAUAACACCACAGAUCGCACGGUCAUAGUACCGGUGACGUAUCCUUCAAAUGUCUGACUUAUCAGCUGUCGAUGGUAGACUCUGUGUCUACCAUGGCGCUCACGGGUGACGGGGAAUCAGGGUUCGAUUCCGGAGAGGGAGCCUGAGAAACGGCUACCACAUCCAAGGAAGGCAGCAGGCACGCAAAUUACCCACUCCAGGCACGGGGAGGUAGUGACAAAAAAUAACGAUACGGGACUCAUCCGAGGCCCCGUAAUCGGAAUGAGAACACCCUAAAUCCUUUAACAAGGAUCUAUUGGAGGGCAAG